GGAAAUGUGCCUGAAGACUAAGGGUCACUAUGAUAAAGUGAACAUGGAGGUAUACCAACCCUCUCAUUUCCUACUCCCU
rnacentral:tRNA from 1 species